AGCGAACGCUGGCGGCGCGCUUAACACAUGCAAGUCGAGCGAGAACCAGACCUUCGGGUCUGGGGGCAGCGGCGAACGGGUGAGUAACACGUGGGUAAUCAACCCUCGGUACUGGGAUAGCCCGGGGAAACCCGGAUUAAUACCGGAUGGCCCUUCGGAUCUUCGGUUCUGAAGGAAAAGGUAGCUUCGGCCUCCGACCGAGGACGAGCCCGCGGCGGAUUAGCUUGUUGGUGGGGUAACGGCCUACCAAGGCGGCGAUCCGUAGCUGGUCUGAGAGGACGAUCAGCCACACUGGGACUGAGACACGGCCCAGACUCCUACGGGAGGCAGCAGUGGGGAAUCUUGCGCUAAUGCGGGAAACCGUGACGCAGCGACGCCGCGUGAGGGAAGAAGGCCUUCGGGUUGUAAACCUCUUUCAGGAGGGACGAAGCUACUCGGGUUAAUAGCCCAGAGGGUGACGGUACCUCCAGAAGAAGCCCCGGCUAACUACGUGCCAGCAGCCGCGGUAAUAC
rnacentral:rRNA from 1 species